rnacentral:tRNA from 1 species
GACUCCAUGGCGCAAUGGUAGCGCGUUCGACUCCAGUCGGCGCUCUGGUUCAUCGAAAGGUUGCGUGUUCAAGUCACGUUGGGGUCA